GGUGAUAUCACUCAACAAUUUCUUUCAGGGUAUGGUAAGGCUAAAUCCCUGCUUGUAGGGGAAUGUCAACCACCAUGCUUGGACCUUCUCUCGGAGAUCAGCCCGGUCAACAUUAAGGAUGGGAAUCUUGUGGCCAAUGCAACCUUAGAGGCAGUAAGGUUGGCAUUGAAGGAGAUGAACUUGCAGGAGUCCAAACCACCACAAUAACAUUACCAUAGAGAAAAACUAUGUAAGCUUUAGGAAUCAACUUUUUUUUUUUUUCUUUUAAACUAAAUAAGCUUUAGGAACUAAUUACUCUUGUUCAAAACUAUUCCUUCAAAAUUUAUUGUUUCUAUCUACACAAUUUUUAUGAUGUACUGCAAGGUCCAUUGAUGAGUUCUGCUUUGUUCACUGCGGUUUUCUUACUUAACCAGGUUGAAGGUUCACUAAUCAUUUUGUAUUGUUGGUAAACUAUUCAUGAUUAAAUUAGUUUGAUGUCAUCUGGUAUAAAUUUCUUUUCUGAUGAUAUGUGUUUCUAUAAUAACUUAGAUAAUCCCAAAUUCAAAGUAAUAAAACAAAAAAAUAAUGAAUUUCUUCUCUGGUAUUGAAUAAUAAACAGUCACAUGAGGCUGAGAAGGCAUCUGCCUCUUCUAAUUUUUUGGGCUUCACCACUUUGUAUUUUGUAAAAACUUUGCCUGUGUCAACAUUUUUUCUAUGAAGGAGAUGAUGAUCAUGAGAUUAAUAAUGAUAUUGAUGUUACGUGGGAUCAAGAUUAUUCAUCCUGCUUUGUUCAAACCAUUUUUUUUUUUUUUGCUUUAAUUCAUUUCAGAAAAUUGUUCGGUUCAUAGUUUAGUCUUUAUGUAUAAUUGACAUGAGUUUCUUUCUUUUGUUGGCUUUUCAUUAGAAUAGUUAUUAACUACAUAUUUUCUUCUUUUACUCUUAUUAUUUAUUAUGUUUGUAAAGACUUACAUUUUAAGUUUUAACUUUUAACACAUGUUUUUAAUUUUAUUUAUAUAAUUUUAUAUAUUUUUUAAUUAUGAUCUUAACUAACGCUACUUUCCUGCCUGUGAUACUACACAGUCCUAACAACCAGAAAGCAUUUCAAAUUCAAGAUAAACAAUACUGACGUAAAUAACAAUACUGCCUAUUAUUAUUAGCUCUACGUUAAAACUCAAAUUUAGUUUACUAACAAAUGACCCAUGUUUUUUAUUAAUCUAAUAAAAGAAAAAUAUAUAUUCCAAAAUUUGCUUAUUGUUUUAGAUUUGAAAUUUGAAAUAAUCACAUACAUAGUGGUUCCAAUUUUCAUCGAUUUUCAACUUCCUGAUCAUAAACUGAAUCGCCGUCACCAUGGCCAAAAGCAACGACAUCACCAUGGCCACGAGCAAGGAGGAUGUGGGAUUGCUGAACCCGAACCCGAACCCGGACAAGAUGCUAUCAAUCCCACUGAAGAAGAGUGAUCCGGUGGAGCUGUACCAGCCGUUACGCAAGUUGGUAGCAACAAAAUACUCAGAGAGCGAUGCAGAGAAAGUUGAAAGCGUUCUGGAAACCCUAAACAAAUGUCGCAGUGACAUGGUGGAGCGAGGGGACCUCUCCCUUCCCAUGCAACGUGAUUGCCUCAUCCACUACUUCAAAUGCCUCUGCAUGGUUGAGCCACUCUUCACCGCUGACUCCGACGACUCCGACGGCAUCAUGUUUUUCUGGUACGACGCCUUCGACCCUGACUAUAUAUGUGUGGAUGGAGUCUCCUCCCAUAAGACUAUCCAAUUGGAGAAGGCUGCUGUUCUCUACAACCUUGGCGCCAUAUACAGCCAGAUUGGAGCCUCUUGCGACCGCACCACCGCCCUUGGCCGUCACCUUGCAAUGGAUGCCUUCAAUGCCGCCGCCAAAUUCUUCUCGGAACUCUGGAAGGUUUUCGCCAAGGACAUCUCCGCCACCUUCGACUUGACUCUCGUCUUCACCGAGACGCUGCACCAGCUGUUCUCCGCUCAGGCUUCGGAGCUCAAAUUACAGCAACAACUCGACGACGACAAAAGCAACAACUACGCCAGUGCCGCUUUACAAAAACAUCGAUGUGCCCAUUUGUUUAAAUCGGUCUGUCUUGACUCUUCACACUUACUGAUUUUUCAUUUAUUUUUUCAUUUUGGAUUUUCAAUAGGAUGAUGUUGAUGAUGAAUUGAUGAUAAUGAUAUGACGUAGGUUUCUAAGCAUUAUUGGAGAGCAUAUGAUCUGAUACUAAGUGAUUCGGCUGCAACCAAACAUGUCUGCUUAUUUGACGAAACUUGGAUACCUCAUCUUCAUCAGAAGCAGAAAUUCUUUCGGAAAGAGGCUCGUCAGAGGAAAUCAUUCAUCCUACCCGAACCCAAGCGACCUAAAACAUCCUCAUCGGUCCAAUCUUGUCCUCUUGAUCAUGAUGCAGAAUCCAUCACGGAAAUAUUAGUUAGAGGGAUUUGCAUGCACUCGGACCUGUGGACACCCAAGCAACAACUAAUAUACCUUGACCUCCUCCUCUCCGAGUACAGCCCUUUCAAGAUUAUGGAUGGUGGAAAGCUGCUGGCUAACCCAUGGGACAUGCCUCCUCCUUAUCCAACAAAUUUUUCAGUCCUCUCUUCUUCCUCUUCGUCUUCGUCACGUCUUAUGGCAUUCCCUUUGAAGAAAUGUGAGCCCUUGGACCUCUACGAGUCCCUGCGCAAUUACUUUGUCCUCAAAUACUCCGAGAGCGAGGCAAACAGAGUAGAAGGCUUUUUGAAAACGGUAGACAAGUUGCGCAGUGAAAUGCAGCGUGAUGACCUGUCUCUACCCGUUCGCCGCAACUGCCUCAUCCAAUAUUUGAAAUGCAUUUGCAUGAUUGAGCCUUUGUUCCCCAUGACUACCUCACCCAAUCCACCUAUCUUUGUUUGGUACAAUGCAUUCAACUCACAACAGGACUCUUCUCAGCACAACAUCCAUUUCGAGAAGGCCUCUGUUCUCUUCAACCUGGGAGCCCUCUCCACCCAAGUUGCUCUCUCCUGCGAUCUCACCACCAUCCAAGGCCAUCUCCUUGCCAAGGACGCCUUAAAUGAUGCUUCGCAUUGGUUCUUGAAACUGUCGCAUGAGGCUGAGAAGGCAUCUGCCACCAUUGAAUUGUCAGUAAACUGUGCCAAGAUGCUGCGUGAGAUAAUAUCCGCUCAGAUUGCCGACUUGGACUGGAAUUUUCCUCAUUCCUGUUCUGUUCGAUCAUCAUCAUCUCCGGUAGGCGAUAAUAUGAACUAGCACAUGAAUCUAAAUUUAGUUCUUAAAAUUUCAAUUGUCUCUAUUUAGUCCCUAAUUAUCUCUAUCGAAUUUUCAAACUUUACUAUUGAACUCAUUAGUCCUUGAAACAAUGGAAGCUCCUCAAGAUGAAAAAGGGUGUGAACAAUGAACAGUGUUCUGGAUGAAAGGUACCCAUGGAAGCUCCUUGAUUGAUUUGUUCUUUGUUCAAGCCCAUGGUACCCAUGCAUUGAUUGAACUACACUGGUACUGCAGGAAAAAAUCCGUAAUCUCCUGCCUUGACACUGCCGAUACCAAAUACCAACCAAUGUUUAGUCCCUUCUUGAGUGUUUCAAUUGCUGUUCCACAGCAUGAAUGUAAUUUAAAUAUGAUAUUUUACAAAAUUGUCAUUUUGAACACUGAUUUUCGAUGCAGAGACUGUGAAAAUUGUCCCAACCACUAAUCUAAGUCACGUUCGUAAAGUUUGGGGACUAAAUAAAAGGAAUUUAAACUUCACAAACUAAAUUAAUUCUGUCUUGUAUAUAUCAUCAUCUAGCUCUUCACAAUUUAACUUGAUUUGUUAAAUUGUGUGAUUGGGAUGAUGCAGGCUCCUCUGCUUUAUCGGAAAGCUUAUGAUCUGUCGACACUUGAGCCUUUAGCUGAGAAUCUUGUUCAUUCCUCGAUACCUCAAUAUCUGAAGAUGAAAACCUGCCCUGUUGUAACUGAUCCUGGUGAUAUCACUCAACAAUUUCUUUCAGGGUAUGGUAAGGCUAAAUCCCUGCUUGUAGAGGAAUGUCAACCACCAUGCUUGGGCCUUCUCUCGGAGAUCAGCCCGGUCAACAUUAAGGAUGGGAAUCUUGUGGCCAAUGCAACCUUAGAGGCAGUAAGGUUGGCAUUGAAGGAGAUGAACUUGCAGGAGUCCAAACCACCAC
rnacentral:lncRNA from 1 species